rnacentral:rRNA from 1 species
AUACGUAGGGGGCGAGCGUUGUCCGGAAUGAUUGGGCGUAAAGGGCGCGUAGGCGGCCCGGUAAGUCUGGAGUGAAAGUCCUGUUUUUAAGAUGGGAAUUGCUUUGGAUACUGUCGGGCUUGAGUGCCGGAGAGGUAAGUGGAAUUCCCCGUGUAGCGGUGAAAUGCGUAGAGAUUGGGAGGAACACCAGUGGCGAAGGCGAAUUACUGUACUGUAACUGACGCUGAGGCGCGAAAGUGUGGGGAGCAAACAGGAUUAGAUACCCUGGUAGUCCACACUGUAAACGAUGAAUGCUAGGUGUAGGGGGUAUCGACCCCUUCUGUGCCGAAGUCAACACAAUAAGCAUUCCGCCUGGGGAGUACGGCCGCAAGGUUGAAACUCAAAUGAAUUGACGGGG